GAUUCAAAAUCCGUCGCCCCUAAAGCGUGUCGGUUCGAGUCCGACCUCAGGCACCA
rnacentral:tRNA from 1 species